rnacentral:sRNA from 1 species
GUAGGAUAUCCGCGGCCGUCUGCGCAUGAACGGCGCCUGUUGUUAGAACGAC